ensembl:lncRNA
AGGGCUAGACUCGUGGCAUAUGGAAUUUCCCAGGCAGUUCUCAGCCCUGACAGAAGUGCUCUUCCACUUCCUAACUGAGCCCAAAGAGGUGGAAAGGUUUCUGGCUCAGCUCUCUGAAUUUGCCACCACAAAUCAGAUCAGUCUUGGCCCCCUCAGAAGCAUCGUGAAGAGCUUCCUUCUGGUUCCAAAUGGUGAGUAGCCUCUCCCAGCAGCUGAGGUCAGAGACAUGACUUGAACACUCCCUCAAUCCACCGAAUUGGCAGGCGUGCUCUGGGCGCCGAGCCAGAGCGUUCGGUGGUGAACCAGACAUGGGCGGGCCUCGCAGUCUAGGGCGGGGAGCCAGCUAGACGGAGGGCGAGCAGGUGAGCAGAAUAGAGGUGCCCUCAGGGUGCAGUCGCAUCCCUGCUUCCGGCCCCAGGCAUCUCUGGUCCCCUACCUGGUAGGCGCAGAAACUGAGAGUAAGGAUCUAGAACCUGUUAUGGCAAUUUGAUAGUCUCUUGUACUAAUUUUUAAAAAGGGGCCUGUGUUUUUGUUUAAUGUGGUAAAAUAUACAUAACAUACAAUUGAUCAUUUGAACCAUGUGGAUCUUAUAUUUUGUGUUUUUUCAUUUCCUCUAAGAGUUAAUUUUCAUUGUAUUUUACAAAAAUCUCAGCCUAUGAUGGAUAGAAAAAUGUAUAAGAUAGGUCUUUGGCGGCUGAUGGUUUGAGAAGCAGGUUUUGCCUUAGAGCCAUCAGGCAACAGUUCCUGGCGGGAGGGAGGUGAUCACAGAGGCUGCGCCGUGGGGCUCUCCGCUGGAGCUCUGUUCAUAAGAAAGAAAAAUUAGAAGCAAUCAAAUUACCCAGCAACUGGAAAUGGGUGUCACAAGCCGUGGUCCAUUUUUACAGGGGAGUAUUAGGGUGGUCAAGAAUUCAGUUUGAGGAGUUCCUAUCGUGGCUCAGUGGUAUCAAACCCGACUAGCACCCAUGAGGACACGGGUUUGAUCCCUGGCCUCGUUCAGUGAGUUAAGGAUCUAGUGCUGCCAUGAGCUGUGGUGUAGGUGGCUCAGAUCUGGUGUUGCUGUGGUGGUAUGGCGUGGGUUGGCAGCUGCAGCUCUGAUUUAACCCCUAACCUGGGAACCUCCAUAUGCCGCGGGUGUGGCCCUAAACACAGACAUACACACAGACACACACCCACCCACCCACCCACAAACACACACACAGAUGCUGUUGAGGAAAAUGUAGUCAUAUGGAAAACCUUGCACAAUGUUCUGUUUGAUACUGUCUGCUACAGUCCUUAUGUUAAAAAGUAUAAAGAGUUAAUUGUGGCUCUGUCUGAGUGGUAAGACUGCAGGUUGUUUUAAUUGUUCAUUUUUAGCUAUGUCUUGUCUAAAAAGUUGGUGGAAAUAAUUUGGCAAUUUAAUUAAAAGUUAAAUUUAUUUAAAGAAGGAGGUGAUGGAGUUCCCAGUAUGGCUCUGCAGGUUAAGAGCCCUAUUGCUAUCUGUGAGGACUUGGGUUCGAUCUGUGGCCUCGCUCAGUGGGUUAAGAUCUGGCGUUUCUGUGAGCUUGGUGUCGACUGCAGAUGCGGCUCAGAUCCUGCAUUGCUGUGGCUGUGGUGUAGGCUGGCAGCUGCAGCUCUGAUUCGACCCCUAGCCUGGGAACCUCCGUAUGCCCCAGGUGGGGGCCCUAAAACAGCAUUCCCAGUUUGCACAUUUUACAAAUCAGUAAUAAGAUCUUCCCAAGAUCUCAGCCCAGUGAUUGCAUGAAAAGUUCAAAGCUUGGUUUGUUUGUUCCUGCCGGGCCUCGGACCUCAGACCUUCUGAUAUAUCUUAGUGCACAUCCUUCACGUGCCCCGUCUCAUGCUCCUAAGGUUCAGGGGUGUGAAUCAGAACAUCCCCCAGGUUUGCAGCUGUGAAAUUUUAGGAUCCUUGGUUAGUGUGAUUCUUGCAAUUUUUGCCCUCAUGGCAGGAUAAAGGCAUGAGAACCACAAGGCUGGAAGGGAGCUUACGGUCUUUUCAACACAGGAAUAAAUGUGCAUCGCAAAGUUAGAACUGCAGAGCUCUGGAGAGUCAAAGGGGAACAUCUCUCUUUACUCUCAUCCAAUUCUUGCCUCUAGAAAUAAUCACACAGUAUAAUUUUGGCAUAUUUUUCUGUGCACUGACAGACAUACACAUAUACAUUCAUGUAGUUUUGUUUUUCAUAAAUGGUAAUAAACCCUAGAAUUACCCUGAAUCUUGCAUUUUUUCAUACCUAGUACAUGGAGGAUCUCUCCACGUCAGCUUCAUUCUUCCGGUGACUGCAGUGUACCUUGGACUGAAUGUACCUUCUUGUAGUUAGUCCAUUUCCCGUUGCUGGACGUUUUAGUUCUGACUCUUCACUCUUAGAAACAAUCCCGCUGUGAAUGUCCGUAGCAUGUCACGUUCCCGGCAUACGUGAGCAUGCCUGUGGGCUAGGUGCCCGGAGUGCAGAACCAGGAGUCCGCAUUCUCGUUGUCUAGCCUGCACCUGUGGGAAUGGGGAAACCCGUGAGCUGUUGUGAACACUGAUUUUCAGGAGACCUCGAUCUCCAUCUGUUCCUGCCCUUCUCAUCUCUGCUCCCGCCCCAUUCCGUCCUGCCAGACUGUGUUAAUCCCUCCCAGGCCUUGUGCUCCAGCCCCUAUGCCGCCUCUUUCAGAACAGUCUUCUCAAACCAGUGCAAUCCACAGUGACCUCCCCUUCCUCUCAGCAACCAGGAUGGGUUCUUUUAUCUGCAGCUCUCCUUCUGGAUCAUAAUCAUCUUGUUUUCUCUUGUUGGUGCUGUUUUAUUUGUGUCUCUCUCAUGAACCUAACAGAGAGCUAGUUCCUCGAAGUCAGGGACGGAGUCUGUACCACUUUCCUGAGCCGUGGUUACAAGUAAAGCGAUGAAAUAGAGCAGGAUCUUUUAGUACAUGCUGGGUGAGUUGAGCUGGAUUUGGGAGCUCUUGUGAUCCUCCCAGGGGAUGUUGGGUGUGUAUUCUUCAAGCAGGAUUGAUUACUACUGUUUGUAGCCCACUGUUUUCUGUAGAUGCAGAGACCACCAUCCAGAGAGACAGGCUUUGCAGGCUAACUUGGAUUUGAGUGUUGGUCAUAUCACCUAAUGUAGCUAUUUGACCUUGGGCAAAUCAGCCUUUUGGAGUUGCAGUUUCUCAUCUGAAAAAUGGAGUAAUAAGAGUAAGUUUAUGCUGUUGGUUUUGGGAAUAAAUGAGAACAUAAAAGUACUUGAUACCGUGCUUGCUAAACUUUAGCAUUAUUUAUCGAUAGUUCAGUUAGUUUCAGUCCUACACCUGGAUAUCAGAUCUUCAGAUUAAACAUUCUUUCACCUAAUGGAGAGGAUCUGAAUUCACCUCUUUUUUUAAAAAAUGUUUAAAAAUUAUAGUUCAGGAGUUCCUGUUGUGGCGCAGGGGAAAACGAACCCAACUAGUAUCCAUGAGGACAAGGGUUCAAUCCCUGUCCUUGCUCAGUGGGUCAGGGAUCCAAUGUUGCCAUGAGCUGUGCUGUAGGUUGCAGACGUGGCUUGGAUCUGUCGUUACUGUGGCUGUGGUCUAGGCUGGCAGCUGUAGCUCCAAUUUGACCCCUAGCCUGGGAACUUCCAUAUGCCAUGGGUAUGGCCCUACAAAGCAAAAAAA